GCGCAGUGCGCCUGCGCGCCGGCCCCGCUCUCUUGCCUGUCUGCCUGCUGUGUGGUGUCCUCCUCAGUGUACCGCCGCCGGGCUGCCCCUGCCUGCUUGCGUGACUGAUACAGCCUGGCCGGUUGGUCGGGCGGGGGCGAGAAGAGGCUCUCAGCUGGCGGUCAUGGGCCCUAAAUCAUUGCCGUGGCGGCGGUGGCGGCGGCGGCGGCUGAGUGACUGAGGGGAGACACCGCCGGGGGAGGGGGCAGGCAGGGGGUAAAGCGCGUGUGUGCGUGUGUGUCGUUGACGACGGUGUUUUUAACCCUUAGAUGGUCUCUAGCGAGCCGUUGCUGCUGCCUGUGUCACUGGAGGGCGAGUUCUCCAAUAGCAUGAAGGAGAUGAUCGGCGGCUGCUGCGUGUGCUCCGACGAGAGGGGCUGGGCCGAGAACCCGCUUGUCUACUGCGACGGGCAUGGCUGCAAUGUCGCAGUGCAUCAAGCUUGCUAUGGAAUUGUGCAAGUACCCACUGGACCUUGGUUUUGCAGGAAGUGUGAAUCUCAGGAAAGAGCAGCCAGAGUGAGAUGUGAAUUAUGCCCUCAUAAGGAUGGUGCUUUAAAGAGAACAGAUAAUGGGGGUUGGGCUCAUGUGGUUUGUGCUCUGUACAUUCCCGAGGUGCAGUUUGCAAAUGUUUCUACAAUGGAACCUAUCGUGUUGCAGUCUGUUCCUCAUGAUCGUUAUAAUAAGACAUGCUAUAUUUGUGAUGAACAAGGCAGAGAAAGUAAAGCAGCCACUGGUGCUUGUAUGACAUGUAAUAAACAUGGAUGUCGACAAGCUUUUCACGUAACGUGUGCACAGUUUGCAGGACUUCUUUGUGAAGAAGAAGGCAAUGGUGCAGAUAACGUCCAAUACUGUGGCUACUGUAAAUACCAUUUUAGUAAACUGAAAAAGAGCAAACGGGGAUCUAAUAGGUCAUAUGAUCAAAGUUUAAGUGAUUCUUCCUCUCACUCUCAGGAUAAACAUCAUGAGAAGGAGAAAAAAAAAUAUAAAGAGAAAGAUAAACACAAGCAAAAAUAUAAGAAGCAGUCGGAGUCCUCACCAUCCUUGGUUCCAUCUCUUACUGUAACCACAGAGAAAACGUACACGAGCACUAGCAACAACUCCAUGUCGGGCUCCUUGAAGCGGUUGGAAGAUACCACAGCUCGAUUUACAAAUGCAAAUUUCCAGGAAGUUUCUACACACGUUUCAAGUGGAAAAGAUUCUUCAGAGGCUAGAGGGUCAGAGAGCAAAGGGAAGAAGUCUGCAGGUCACAGCUCAGGUCAGAGGGGAAGAAAGCCUGGUGCUGGAAGAAAUCCAGGAUCAGCUGUGACUGCAGCUAGCCCUUUUCAGCAAGGAAGCUUUUUGGGCACUCCUGGGAGCAUAAAGUCAUCUUCUGGAAGUUCAGUUCAGUCUCCCCAGGAUUUUUUGAGUUUUACAGACACAGAUCUUCGAAGUGAGAGUUUCACGCAUUCUCAACAGGCUUCCUCAACCAAAGAUGUACAUAAAGGAGAGGCUGGGAGUCAAGAAGGGGGUGUCAAUUGUUUCACUUCCUUAAUUGGUCUCCCUUCAUCAUCGGCUGUUUCCCAGUCUAAAAACUUUGACAGCUCGCCUGGAGACAUAGGUAAUUCAAGCCUUACUUCUACAGCAUACAAACGAGCUCAAACUUCUGGAAUAGAAGAAGAAACUGUGACAGAGAAGAAACGGAAAGGAAAUAAGCAAAGUAAACAUGGGCCUGGUAGACCCAAAGGAAAUAAAAGUCAAGAAAGUAUUUCCCAUCUUUCAGUUUCUUCUGCUUCCCCAACUUCAUCUGUGGCAUCUGCUGCAGGAAGUGUGACAAGUUCUGGUCUUCAAAAAUCUCCAACUUUGCUCAGGAAUGGAAGUUUACAAAGUCUUAGUGUUGGCUCAUCUCCAGUGGGUUCAGGUAUUUUUAGCAGCAAUGAUGUAGCAGUAUCAUUUCCAAAUGCAGUAUCUGGCUCAGGAUCUAGCACUCCCGUUUCCAGUUCUCAUUUACCUCAGCAGGCUUCAGGCCACUUGCAGCAAGUGGGAGCUCUAUCACCUUCAACUGCGCCUUCUGUAACUACUGUUGUUGCUGCAACUCAGGCAAACACCCUACCUGGAUCUUCUCUCAGUCUGCCUCCAUCCCACAUGUACGGCAAUAGGCUGAAUCCAAAUUCAGCAAUGGCAGCACUUAUAGCUCAGUCUGAAAACAGCCAAGCAGAUCAAGAUCUCGGAGAUAAUAGCCGCAGCCUUGUUGGCAGAGGAGGUUCACCCAGAGGAAGUCUCUCACCACGAUCCCCUGUAAGCAGCUUGCAGAUUCGCUAUGAUCAAUCAGGGAACAGUUGUGGGGAAAAUUUGCCCCCAGUAGCAGCCAGCAUAGAACAGCUUCUGGAGAGGCAAUGGAGUGAAGGACAACAGUUUUUGUUAGAGCAAGGCACCCCUAGUGACAUUUUAGGAAUGCUUAAAUCAUUACACCAACUUCAGGUUGAAAAUAGGCGGUUAGAAGAACAGAUAAAGAAUCUAACAGCUAAGAAGGAGCGGCUUCAGCUACUCAAUGCACAGCUUUCGGUGCCCUUUCCAACAAUAACUUCAAAUCCUAGCCCUUCUCAUCAAGUACAUGCCUUUCCAGUACAAGCAGCACCUAGCACUGAUUCCUUGAACAGCAGUAAAAGCCCUCAUCUGGGAAACAGUUUUUUACCAGACAAUUCUCUUCCUGUAUUAAAUCAGGAGAUAACCUCCAGCGGACAAAGCACCAGCAGUUCAUCAGCUCUUUCCACUCCACCACCUGCUGGGCAGAGUCCAGCUCAGCAAGGCUCAGGAGUCACAGGAGUUCAACAGGUCAAUGGUGUGACAGUGGGGGCACUAGCUAGUGGUAUGCAGACUGUAACCUCCACCAUUCCUGCAGUGCCUGGUGUGGGUGGAAUAAUUGGAGCACUGCCAGCCAGCCAGCUGGCAAUCAAUGGAAUUGUAGGGGCUUUAAAUGGGGUAAUUCAGACCCCAGCAACAAUAUCGCAGAACCCUUCUCCUCUCACUCAUGCAACUGUGCCACCCAAUGCAACGCAUCCUCUGCCAACCACGUUAAAUAACAGUGCCUCGGGACUAGGAUUACUUCCUGACCAACAGAGACAACUUCUACUCCAUCAACAACACCAGCAAUUUCAGCAAUUACUAAGUACCCAGCAACUCACAUCAGAACAACAUCAGGCCCUUUUGUAUCAAUUAGUACAGCAACAACAUCACCACCACCAACACCAUCAGUCUGAAGUACAGCAAUUGCAGAUUACUGGAGGAGCACAGAUACCCAUAAACAACUUACUUUCAGGCACACAGGCUUCACCACUUAAUGCAGCUACCACCAACCCAUUUCUUACAAUUCACGGAGACAACGCAGCUCAGAAGGUGACAUAUUUUCUCUUACACAGAGGCUCAAUGAUAAAACUGGACCAGUUGCGUCAGAGAAGAGUUGACGUUUGAAAGAUACUUGAGAACUGCAUGUCCUGCUGUUAUAGCACUUCAUCUGGCUGCAAACUGCAGUUUUCCUUUCUGCAGAUUGAAGAAAUGUAACAAGGAACUCCUACUGCACAGCAAAAGAUCCUGACAUCAAAGAUGAUGGUCUGUGGCUGAUUUGGCACCAGUUCAGCAGAAGCUGAUACUGCCCUCCCUGUGGAAUGCCAAAGCAGCUAAGUCACUGGUUACUGAGCUACCCUCAAAUGCGUCGGGAACUGCUCCGGCCUCAGUGUCACAAGAGCAGCACAGACUAAAUGUGCUGCAUUUCAGAAGAGUUUUGUGUUAACGGGCUUUUGAAAUUUCUGCUGUUUUUUCCACCAAAAUCCAGCUUCACUGACAACCACAACACACCUUAUGGCUUACAGGAGCCAACUAAUUCUGGACAGCCUAUGACUUCUCAAACCCUGGUUUUAUCAACUUUAGCCAUUCAAGCUGUGUUAGCAGGAGCUACUCUUCCAGCAAUAGCAUUGUGUGCCAUUUAACUGACUGAUUUUCUGGUGCCUGUUUUUAAUAAGCUGCACUAAAAAUCUCACUGUUGGUUCUGCCUAAAGGACAGGUCUUUUAAAGUCAGUCAGUCAAACACUCAGUGUUUCCAUUGUCAUCUCAUAAAGAGGUCACAUUGCAAAAUCUUCCUUGAAACAGCUUUUUUUUUUAAUUAGUUCAUACCCUGACAGCUGUAAAGUUGAGAAUAAUUAAUACAGUCCAAACAUUUAGAGCUACAGGACAGUGCAGAACAGCAUCUAUUAGUCUGUCUUCUAGAACUAACCUAGCCUAAAUUAGAGCACUGUUAACCUUUAUAGCAUCUCAAACAUAUUCUACUCAUCCACUUGUGUAUAGUUGUCAGGCUAUAAUUGUAUGAAAUUCUGAUGCUUUAUAACUUGGCAUUUGGACUGUAUUUGUACAGUAACACUGCCCUCCCCGGCUAGCCUGCCGCAAAUGCCCCUUUCCAUAGCGUUCUGCCUAAUCCCAUCCACAGGGAUGUGCAAAGCUGCUCAAAAGAGACUCGGCUCCAACUCAUUUGGGUGCAAGUCACAGUACAGAAGCUUCAGCAUAGACCCUCUGAGACUGAAACCUUUUCAUGCACAAAGUUAUAGUGCAAAAGGCACUUUGAGCUACAGCUCACAACUGCCCAGGAAAGAAAAAAUAUUUUGCUAGCAGGCAACUAUUAACAUUACUUAAAUGAAAUCUGCAUUCCGUGUUAGAAUGAAAGUUGGAAGAAGCUGCUUAAAUCCGAAGCCUAGCGUGACCUUGACUUUCAUGGACAGAAAGUUUUAGAAAAACUAGCUUUGGUGGUGGAUACCAGAACAGUGAGAAAACAAAGCCCAGCUACAGUUUACCACUCCUCGAGCGAGCAUCACAUCUGACCUUGGUCAUGACAGGCUGGAUCUACUGCCAAAAAGGCCAGUUGUCUCAUCAUCCAGAAGACACCUAGCACCCCCAGGAGAGGACCCUGAGAGGCCCCGCAGAUCUUGGACUCUUACCCCAUACUGCCUUCCUCCCUGCAGCCAAACACAAAAGCUAAAGCUUAGGCUGGGCCAAUUCCUUUGGCCCUUGAGGAACCAAACGAAGUAAGACUGGAUGAGGCCUGGACAAAGCUUUCACUACAUCAUUACGUGAAGGAUCCCUCCUAAACAGGCAUCUCUGUUGCAGAGAUUAGAUCCACUGAUGCUGGACACUGACUUGCCACAUUCCUUGUCCCAGGACCUACACUGCCAGACUACUCAGUGUGAAACACCCUUCCGGGCCCAAAUAACCCACCUGUGCGUUGCAAAACCUUCCCUGUUCUUGACGAUGAGACAGUUGGGCCCAACUGCCACCAAUUCGUGGUGCAGUUCCACUGUGGAAGAGGCCAAUGCAUUUCUCUUACACAGCCAGCUCGCCCCUACUUUCAGGCAGCUUGAUUCUUCAAGCAAUAAGGAUGCAGUCCAUCAAUUCACUUCCAUCCAGGCAUGAGCAGCACCUGUGAUUAGACAAUGACAUCCAUCGCUUCAGGUACUUAGCCUGACAAGUGUGACAGAAGGGCAUGUACAAUCUUUGCCCAUCCUUAAGGAUCUUCCUUCAGGUAAACUGUCAGGAGCACUGCUUAAAGUUUCUCAGUGUGAAUGUUCUUACAAACAGAAAAAGAGAAAAAGUUUCUUACCAAGUAAGUUGUGCUCGUCCUUCUUCCUUCGACCCCAUCCAGAAAGUCCAGGGCAGGGAGAAGCUGAAGGUGUUGGGCAGGCAGUACAUAAUUAUUGCCACAUACACAGUAGUGAUAUGUGCAAAUCUUAAGCAGGUACUCUUUACACAUAUAACUUUUUGA